AGAUUGAACGCUGGCGGCACGCCUAACACAUGCAAGUCGAGCGGUAGCAUGGUUUGUAGCAAUACAAACUGAUGACAAGCGGCGGACGGGUGAGGAACACGUAGGAAUCUACCCUCAAGCGGGGGACAACCAAGGGAAACUUUGGCUAAUACCGCAUAAUCUCGAGAGAGAAAAGCUACCCGCAAGGGCGGCACUUGAGGAGGAGCCUGCGUCCGAUUAGCUAGUUGGUAGGGUAAUAGCCUACCAAGGCGAUGAUCGGUAACUGGUCUGAGAGGACGACCAGUCACACUGGGACUGAGACACGGCCCAGACUCCUACGGGAGGCAGCAGUGGGGAAUAUUGGACAAUGGGGGCAACCCUGAUCCAGCGAUGCCGCGUGAGUGAAGAAGGCCCUCGGGUCGUAAAGCUCUUUAAGGUUGGGAAGAAGGACAUUUGUUUAAUAGACGAGUGUUUUGACGGUACCGACAGAAUAAGCACCGGCAAACUCCGCGCCAGCAGCCGCGGUAA
rnacentral:rRNA from 1 species